AACGAACGCUGGCGGCAGGCCUAACACAUGCAAGUCGAACGGACCCUUCGGGGUUAGUGGCGCACGGGUGAGUAACACGUGGGAAUAUGCCCUUAGGUACGGGACAACAGCUGGAAACGGCUGCUAAUACCGUAUGAUAUCGAGAGAUCAAAGAUUUAUCGCCUAAGGAUUAGCCCGCGUUAGAUUAGGUAGUUGGUGGGGUAAGAGCCUACCAAGCCUACGAUCUAUAGCUGGUCUCAGAGGAUGAUCAGCCAAACUGGAACUGAGACACGGUCCAGACUCCUACGGGAGGCAGCAGUGAGGAAUAUUGGACAAUGGGCGAAAGCCUGAUCCAGCCAUGCCGCGUGAAUGAUGAAGGCCUUAGGGUUGUAAAGUUCUUUUAGUAGUGAAGAUGAUGACGGUAACUACAGAAAAAGCCCCGGCUAACUCCGUGCCAGCCGCCGCCGUAAUAC
rnacentral:rRNA from 1 species